rnacentral:sRNA from 1 species
GCCCAGCGGACAUCGGAGGAGCCGCUUCAGAUCGCGUUCAGUUCAGAGUGGAUUCCGUCCGAGAUUCCGUGCCGUUAGAGCGCCCAGCGUCCGUCGAUCGCCAGGCAGUUAAGACCGCGACCUCGCGGCAUUCCGGCUGCAGUCUCCGGUUCCGAGUCGCGUCGAGCGUUUCGUGUUGAGGUAGAAGACAAUCCUCUACGACGGCUACAGCAGUGCAACGCAUUUUGAAACUGUUGAUGCAACGGCAGCAGAAACUGCUGCGGAAAUUAUUCCAACUGACUGCAUUGGCAAAACGUUAAGUAUACGCAGUGGUGUGCGGGCAAAGAGAAAGCAAAAAGC